AUUUCUUCUCUAUCUUCCAACUGUCUUGCAUGAAUCUUCAAGUAUUGUGUAGGUCCUCGUGUUUUCUUCACUGUUGUCUCUAUACAAAGAUACUAAUUAUAUACCAUCCCUCUUAUUGAUUUAUAAGAUAUUUAAUUGAAAAAAAAAGAACAAA